UCCUUUUGUGACCUUAAUAAUUAUGAAAUUUUUAACUAAUCAAAUAUGUGGUCUGGAACCAAUAAUUAGUGGACUUCUGAAAAUGACAUCUCUACUUAUCACUACGAUAACCUUUUCAAGUCUUCCUCGUUAUUUCACUCUCCUCUUAAAUACUAGUAUUCUCUAGGUAGUUGAAAUUUUAUCAAACUUAUCUAAAAAUCAAAAUCCAUUUUUCUCACAUUUCUUCAUCUUCUCUAUUCUACCAUCUUCUUCAUCCUACCAUCUCCAACAUAUGACAUCCUCCUUCCUAAGCGUUGUCCACUCGUCGUACUUCUCCACCACCAUUUUGUAAUGCUUAUAGUUUCCUCCACCACCAUCAAAGUUGUCAACAACCAAAAAGUUGAUGCCUUUGUGAUCUUUGUGGGACAUGGUUGAAGCUAAGACAAUGGAAUUGUGAUAAAUAUCAAUACGAAGGCAAGAAUAUUGGGUGGUUUAAAAAUUAUAUUUAUUGCAUAAAAAGAUUAUAUUUAUAAAUUGAAGCUGCUAAGAUUUACCCGUACUUGCUAAAUUGUAAUAUUAUAAGCAAUAUGCAAUUGAGUUAUGAAAGUAUGGAGAAUAAAGAUGAGAGUAUAAAUCUA